rnacentral:rRNA from 1 species
AAGUUUUCGGAUCGCGGCGACGCCGGCGGUUUGCCGCCGGUGACGUUGUGAGAAGUUCACUAAACCUUAUCAUUUAGAGGAAGGAGAAGUCGUAACAAGGUUUCCGUAGGUGAACCUGCGGAAGGAUCAUUG